rnacentral:rRNA from 1 species
GACGAACGCUGGCGGCGUGCUUAACACAUGCAAGUCGAACGGUGAAGCGCCUUCCUUUUUGGUGGGUGUGGAUGAGUGGCGAACGGGUGAGUAACACGUGAGUAACCUGCCCCCUUCUUCUGGAUAACCGCAUGAAAGUGUGGCUAAUACGGGAUAUUCUGGGUCUGUCGCAUGAUGGGUCUGGGAAAGAUAUUGUUUCGGUGGGGGAUGGGCUCGCGGCCUAUCAGCUUGUUGGUGGGGUGAUGGCCUACCAAGGCGGUGACGGGUAGCCGGCCUGAGAGGGUGGACGGUCACACUGGGACUGAGACACGGCCCAGACUCCUACGGGAGGCAGCAGUGGGGAAUAUUGCACAAUGGGCGCAAGGCUGAUGCAGCGACGCCGCGUGAGGGAUGGAGGCCUUCGGGUUGUGAACCUCUUUCGCCAGUGAAGCAGGCCUGCCUCGUUUGUGGGUGGGUUGAUGGUAGCUGGAUAAGAAGCGCCGGCUAACUACGUG